GCUUACGGCCAUACCAGCCUGAAUACGCCCGAUCUCGUCUGAUCUCGGAAGCUAAGCAGGGUCGGGCCUGGUUAGUACUUGGAUGGGAGACCGCCUGGGAAUACCAGGUGCUGUAAGAA
ensembl:rRNA 5S_rRNA 5S ribosomal RNA